GAGGACCGUAUUCAUGGAAGAGGAUUGAACAGAGAUGAAGUAGACAGUAUGUUGGAUAAAUCUGGAGUAAAGAACCCAGCAAUUGGUAAAGAUGAGAAUAUAUCGCCUCAAGUAAAAGGAGAUGAAGACAUGGGAGAUGAAAUUGACAGUAUGUUGGCUACAUCUGGAGGUCUUUUCUCCUGAGAACACGGGACUCCAGCAUCUUCGGAUUCUGCUCUUGGAGGGGUUUGCCCCACAUCCUCUAUAUUGCAGAAAACAAGACUAGGCUCUACCUCUGUAGAUCAAGCACGACUGAAAUCCGUGCUCUCAAAAGAUGCUGGGGAGAAAGAGUGCCAUUCUUCACAAAUGCUGCUGCAUCAUUGGACUGAAAGUGAAUGGCCCAUGUGUUGCCACUGAUGUGAGCCAUUUGCCUGUUGUGCUUC
rnacentral:precursor_RNA from 1 species